CCGCACAAGCGGUGGAGCAUGUGGUUAAUUCGAAGCAACGCGAAGAACCUUACAGGUCUUGACAUCCCUGACAACCAAGAGAUUGGCGUUCCCCGUCGGGGGACAGGGUGACAGGUGGUGCAUGGUUGUCGUCAGCUCGUGUCGUGAGAUGUUGGGUUAAGUCCCGCAACGAGCGCAACCCUCGCCUCUAGUUGCCUGCAUUCGGUUGGGCACUCUAGAGGGACUGCCGGCGACAAGUCGGAGGAAGGUGGGGAUGACGUCAAAUCAUCAUGCCCCUUAUGACCUGGGCUACACACGUGCUACAAUGGCCGGUACAGACGGACGCAAAGCCGCGAGGUGGAGCAAAUCCUAAAAAGCCGGUCUCAGUUCGGAUUGCAGGCUGCAAUUCGCCUGCAUGAAGUCGGAAUCGCUAGUAAUCGCAGGUCAGCAUACUGCGGUGAAUACGUUCCCGGGCCUU
rnacentral:rRNA from 1 species